GAGCACAGGAUCCCAGAGCAGAGAUGUGUGAAGGUGUCUGAGGAGCAGCCAGGGUGCUAGAGCACACAGCUGCAGAAUGACCUGGCUAAGAGAACACAAGAUGAGGAGAACAUUUACAUUGAGCUGGGGGAAUCAGAGAAGGAAUUAGGUUAGGUAUACGCAACCCAAAAUGAAAACCCAGUGGCCACCUCUGGUGGGCAAUUGAAAAAAUGCAAAUGAUGUCACAAAAGGCAGGGGCUGAAGACACAUCUAGGAGUCACUGUUGUCUUGGAGAUAAUCAAGUCAUGGCCAACUCUUCUGGAAGGUUUUGCUCAUCAGGAAAUCACAGGGUUGGAAAAAAAGAUGCUUGGCCAAACUACAUCGCAGCUGAACCAGGGUCUUCAUUCUGUGACAGUGGACCAGCUUCAGAGAAGGUAAUGGAUUCACUGGAUUACAGUCUGGUCUAAGAAUGUCAAAUUCAGAAACUAUGCAACUUCAAUGUGGCUGAAGAACUGUUAUCCCUCUGCAGUACAUGGGGGUUUGAGCUCACGUCAAUGUGCCUGACCUAAGGGCAAAUGGAGCUAAGCAGGAGGGAGAAUUAGACACUUGCCACGGCUUGGAGACAGGGUCUACUGCUCUCUGCUGAACCAGAGGAAAGAACACACUGGCUCCUGAACCUUCGCAGGAAGACAAGGCGAGGGCUGCUGGGUGCCCGUCGCUGCUCACAGCACAGAACGUCCCACUCCUCAGACUCUUUGUCCCCGUCCUAAGACUGUCCUUCACUUGGUCCAUCCAAUCCAAAAUAUGGGCAUACGAAACACACCUCAUCCUUCACACACACAACAUGCUCAACCUUCACUAGCCACGUGACUUUCUUUCUCACAUCAUCCUGAAUUUGCUUUUCUGGUGAGUACCCAGGGACAGCCCUGGUUCAGUGAUGAGGCCUCACAGCCUGUGGUGAGUGCUCACUGUUAGUGUGGCUUUGACUGGAACACAGUCCCUGCAGGGUGGCAUCCAGUGCUCCCUGACUCCAUGCAUGAGGUGUCAUGUGGUCAGUGGCCGCAUGGGUUAAACCCCAGAAGGCCAGACCUGGAGGAGAGAUCCAGCUCCAGCCCAUCUGGGAAGUCCCUGAUCGGGGGUGAUGAUGGUGACAAAGGUUGGUUGACCAGAGAGAUCCACCAUCCACCAUUUGGGGAUGUCCCUACCAGGUUGAGUACAGUGUGAGGAAAACCCCGUAGAAACUCAGGUACCCAGGAGGAUCCUAAAACCAAAAAGGCAAGAACAGAAUAUGCUAUACAUGGGCACUUGGUGACAAAGAAUAGAGACAAAAACUUGGUUUUCAGAAGUAUAAGGUCAAAGAUAGUUAGUGAUGGUGCCAAGCUACCCACUAUUGAACCGGAGCACUCAAUUCCCUGGUCCCAGAGUCAGGGUAGACCACAACCUUAUUAUAACCCAAGUGGCUCGAGGCAGAGAUAGCAUCGAAAGGUCCUAUCAUUGGGUAUUUUAUUUUCCCAGACUGCAUUUCCAUCUCUCAUGCAUAUCUCUUCUCCUAAAUCCUCCCAACUCAGAAAUUUACUUUUCAAUCUUCUGACUUUUCUUCAUACCUAAGAAGACUGGACAAAGUGCUUGAAAAGCAAAUGGAAACAUUUUAUGAAUAACUACGCAAAGGAAAGACAUAUAAAUAUUUUUAAAGGCA
ensembl:lncRNA CELF2-AS2 CELF2 antisense RNA 2